rnacentral:rRNA from 1 species
GAUGAACGCUGGCGGCGUGCUUAACACAUGCAAGUCGAACGAAGCACUCUAUUUGAUUUUCUUCGGAAAUGAAGAUUUUGUGACUGAGUGGCGGACGGGUGAGUAACGCGUGGGUAACCUGCCUCAUACAGGGGGAUAACAGUUGGAAACGACUGCUAAUACCGCAUAAGCGCACAGGAUUGCAUGAUCCGGUGUGAAAAACUCCGGUGGUAUGAGAUGGACCCGCGUCUGAUUAGCCAGUUGGCAGGGUAACGGCCUACCAAAGCGACGAUCAGUAGCCGACCUGAGAGGGUGACCGGCCACAUUGGGACUGAGACACGGCCCAAACUCCUACGGGAGGCAGCAGUGGGGAAUAUUGCACAAUGGGGGAAGCCCUGAUGCAGCGACGCCGCGUGAGCGAAGAAGUAUUUCGGUAUGUAAAGCUCUAUCAGCAGGGAAGAAGAAUGACGGUACCUGACUAAGAAGCACCGGCUAAAUACGUGCCAGCAGCCGCGGUAAUACGUAUGGUGCAAGCGUUAUCCGGAUUUACUGGGUGUAAGGGGAGCGCAGGCGGUGCGGCAAGUCUGAUGUGAAAGCCCGGGGCUCAACCCCGGUACUGCAUUGGAAACUGUCGUACUAGAGUGUCGGAGGGGUAAGUGGAAUUCCUAGUGUAGCGGUGAAAUGCGUAGAUAUUAGGAGGAACACCAGUGGCGAAGGCGGCUUACUGGACGAUAACUGACGCUGANGCUCGAAAGCGUGGGGAGCAAACAGGAUUAGAUACCCUGGUAGUCCACGCCGUANACGAUGAAUACUAGGUGUCGGGGAGCAUUGCUCUUCGGUGCCGCAGCAAACGCAAUAAGUAUUCCACCUGGGGAGUACGUUCGCAAGAAU